CUUUAGUCGUUAAACUUAUGUUAUUGUUUCAUUGGUAAUAUCGAUAAUAUUUUCUGAUUUGUGAUUUUCUUUCUGGUAAUUUUAAAAGAUGCCAAGGAGCAAUAAAAGGUUUAAAGCAACUGUAGCUGUCACAUAUCAUGAUGAGGAUGGCCAUGUUGAGAGAGAGGAGAUGCAUUUGUCAGAAUUGGUUACUGAGGAUCAUAGAGGAAGCUGUUCUUUUAACAUUCCUGAUAAUUGUGGUGCAUUGGAAGGCCAUGAACUGGGAAUGGAACAAGAUAACAGUGAUCUUGAAAGUGAUGUUCACCAUGAUUGUGAAGAAUCAUCUUUUUAUUACCAGAAAGUUGAAAGAAAACAAAAAACAUGGGAAAAUUUGGGACAUUCAAUAAUAAAGAAUACAUUUCAGUUUGCUGGCAAUAAUGAAGCAAAAUUUAGGUGCAGCGAUUGUGGUCCAAUGGCAAAGUAUUGUGAGAACUGUAUGUUAAAGAUGCACACAACCGUAAAUAUUUGUCAUCAUGUUGAAAUAUAUAAGGAUGGCAUGUUUUGGCCAUAUAAACUCAUGAACAUGCUGGUGUAUGAUUGUUCAUGCCAAACAGCUCGUCACAAAAGAAGUGUUUCUGUUGUUGAUGUUAAAGGCAGAUUUUGUACUGUUGAGGUACACUUUUGCUCAUGCUCUCCAGAGUUUGUUCAACUUCUGCAAUUUGGCCUUUGGGGUGGAACACCUACAAAACCAAGAAUUGCAUUUGCAAUUGAGUUUUUUUUAAUUGAUUCAUUCUGUGCAGAUGGAAUGCCAGGCAUCAAUAAAAAGCAUUUGUCAGUCAUUUGAAGAGUUUAAUCAUAACCACAUAUUCUCUUCUUAUGCAACACCAAAAAUGUAUCCUGUCAUUAUAGAUGCUUUUGAAGAAUAUAGGUAACUGCAUAAUUUACAGACAUAAACUAAACAUGUUGAGCUGUGUUAUUCCUGAGCUUGAUGAAGGAAAUAUCUGUCCUACUUGUCCCAAAACUGAUGGUGUGAUCUUUGAGUCUCUUGAUGCUCUAUUUAUUGGAAAUUUUACAAGUUGUUGCUGUGUUUUCAUUUUCUGGUAAAA